GCUCUAUUUAAAGCAUCGGAAAGCUCAGAGAUGCAGCUGCAGAGUCAAACACUAAAUCAGUUCUGUUUGGACGCACCAGAGAGGAAUGGCAGUACCAGAGCCAAUCCCAUAUUCCCGUUUGGUUGUACCUGCCCUUCUCUUGAUUGGCUGGCUUGUGGGUUGUGCCUUAAUGGUUUACUUUGUCUUCUCUUAACAGAGGGGAAGAAGCCUUCGUGAAAGAGCCUCGCAAUUGAACGAAGAUGUCUAUUUUAUUAAAAGCACAGAAUGCAGAUUAGAUGUUAAUAAUAAUGAUAAUGAUAAUGAUACAUAUACUUUUUGUCUGUAAUUUGUCUAAUAAUAACCAAAGCAGUUUUUAGAAUUUAUGUAACUUUGAAUUAAAAUUGCACUGGAUGGUUGGUGACAGAACCAACCUUAGCCAA